CCUACGGGAGGCAGCAGUGGGGAAUAUUGCACAAUGGGGGAAACCCUUAUGCAUCAACUCCUCUUUAUUUAAUAAUUAUUUCUGUAUGUAAAGCUCUAUCAGCAGGGAAGAAGAUGACGGUACCUGACCAAGAAGCCCCGGCUAACUACGUGCCAGCAGCCGCGGUAAUACGUAGGGGGCAAGCGUUAUCCGGAUUUACUGGGUGUAAAGGGAGCGCAGACGGCAGUGCAAGUCUGGAGUGAAAGCCCGGGGCCCAACCCCGGAACUGCUCUGGAAACUGUGCGGCUAGAGUACUGGAGGGGCAG
rnacentral:rRNA from 1 species